rnacentral:tRNA from 2 species
AAAGACCUGUAGAACUUUCUCCUACAUCAU